CCUUUGUGCGCGAGUGACAGCAGCGCUGUGAAGUAUAAAGUGGCGGAAUUUGCUGAGUGAGUAAGCGGUGACAAAAGUAAAUGCAGAAUGAAGAUGGGGAGUGGUCAUAAGGCAAAGAAUCUACAAUACAUGCAGCAGCUAUUUUAGAUUUCAAGAUCCCAAUAGAAUGAGGUGAUCAGUUUGCAUACCAGAUGUGUUGGUGUUCAGGUAGGUAUAAGCUGGAGGGAGGAGUUUGUCAACAAAAUGAAUGAGUAAUUAGAUGAUGCAAAGUGUUGCUGUUAUGGGAAUGAGAAUCACAGCCGAAUGAUUUGGGUGGCAAAUGAUUGUAAACAAAAGAUGGCUUAGUAUAUGUAGUUUUCAUGUGCAAAGAAAAGCUGAUGUAGUGUGAAUGGGUCAUUGCAAAAGCAUUUUGACACAGAAAUUGUACAUGCAAGGGCACAGAGAUCCGAGAUAGUGGCUGAUAUAAAUUCUAGCUACAGAUCCUGUGCGAAAGCAGUAUAUGUAUUUUUAUGUGCUA